CCCUUAGAUGUUCUGGGCCGCACGCGUGCUACACUGAGUGGAUCAGCGGGUCAGGUUGCGCGAAAGUGUUUCCUAAUCUUGAAAUCCGCUCGUGAUGGGGAUUGACGGUUGCAAUUUUCCGUCAUGAACGAGGAAUACCUUGUAAGCGCGGGUCAUCAUCCCGCGCUGAAUACGUCCCUGCCCUUUGUACACACCGCCCGUCGCACCUACCGAUUGGAUGGUCCGGUGAAGCCUCGGGAUUGUGGCCAGUGCCUUUUUGGUUUUGGUUGCGAGAACUUGUCUAAACCUUAUCAUCUAGAGGAAGGUGAAGUCGUAACA
rnacentral:rRNA from 1 species